rnacentral:rRNA from 1 species
UAACACAUGCAAGAUACGAGCCGCGAAAACCCUUCGGGGUAAGUAGUAGCGGCGGACGGGUGAGUAAUGCUUGGGAAUCUACCUAGUAGUGGGGGAUAACGUGUGGAAACGCACGCUAAUACCGCGUACGUCCUAAGGGAGAAAGCAGGGGAUCUUCGGACCUUGCGCUAUUAGAUGAGCCCAAGUCGGAUUAGCUAGUUGGUGAGGUAAUGGCUCACCAAGGCGACGAUCCGUAGCUGGUCUGAGAGGAUGAUCAGCCACACUGGGACUGAGACACGGCCCAGACUCCUACGGGAGGCAGCAGUGGGGAAUAUUGGACAAUGGGGGAAACCCUGAUCCAGCCAUGCCGCGUGUGUGAAGAAGGCUCUAGGGUUGUAAAGCACUUUCAGUAGGGAGGAAAAGUUUAAGGUUAAUAACCUUGAACCCUGACGUUACCUACAGAAGAAGCACCGGCAAACUCCGUGCCAGCAGCCGCGGUAAUACGGAGGGGGCGAGCGUUAAUCGGAAUUACUGGGCGUAAAGCGCGCGUAGG